CGACUCCAUGAAGCUGGAUUCGCUAGUAAUCGCGCAUCAGCCACGGCGCGGUGAAUACGUUCCCGGGCCUUGUACACACCGCCCGUCAAGCCAUGGAAGCCGGGAGUGCCUGAAGUGCGUGAGCGCAAGCAGCGCCCUAAGGUAAAACCGGUGACUGGGGCUAAGUCGUAACAAGGUAAC
rnacentral:rRNA from 1 species